GUAUCUAGCAACCAACUUCAGGAAAGCCAGUGUGUCUUCAUGCCUAAUGGACAUCCCUGGAACAAACAAAUCAAACAGAACAAAGGAAUUCUAGAGGGAGUAGAGCUGGACGUCCUGGUGUGACAGAAGUUCAAUCAAACAGAAUUGAUAAGAAAGGUCUUAAAUUAUCUCUAUUGACUGAAACUGGAUUUUACAACUCGACAUGCCCAAAUAGACUUGGAGCCACAGUAUCCCAGAGACUUAUUUGAAAAUUUCAGGAUAUGAGUAUGAAAAGCACCGUGUUAGAAAUGAAGAUUUCUCUAUGAUGUUGGAGAAGACUCUCCUGUACUAUUCCUUUUUACCCUCUUUCCCAGUAAUAACCCUGAAGGCCCCUCUCAGUCUCUGUGCUUUGAAAAUGGUGUUACACUCAGUGCGCACAAAGUGGUCCUGAAGAGCCAUGGUCUUUCACUACACAUUCGUGCGACCCAGGGAGGAGUAUUAAAAAAGUACGGAAGCAUCCCUGGAAUUCUAGAGAUAACUUUGUGGGAACCAAGUGAUCUUUCUAUCUCCCCAGCAUGGAAACAUGUUUUCAACUGUAACACAUCGUAACUGUCUGAGACUGAAGUAUUUGGAACCCUAAGGAUAAGGCUUUUAAAUCUGUACAACGAACCUGGGGAUCCAUUCACAAUUACUGAAGGUAAAGCUGUUCAGAGCUAUUUCUUCCCUAAGAGGGGAUGGCACACAUCCUGCUUUUCAUCAAGUGUAAGAAAAGAGAAGUGUGG
rnacentral:lncRNA from 1 species